AUUGAACGCUGGCGGCAGGCUUAACACAUGCAAGUCGAGCGAGCGGCGGACGGGUGAGUAAUGUCUGGGAAACUGCCUGAUGGAGGGGGAUAACGACUGGAAACGGUAGCUAAUACCGCAUACCAUCAGAUGUGCCCAUAUGUGAUUAGCUAGUAGGUGGGGUAAUGGCUCAACUAGGCGACGAUCCCUAGCUGGUCUGAGAGGAUGACCAGCCACACUGGAACUGGGACACGGCCCAGACGCCUGCGGUAGGCAGCAGUGGGGAAUAUUGCACAUUGGGCGCAAGCCUGAUGCGGCCAUGCCGCGUGUGUGGAGAAGGCCUUCGGGUUGUAAAGCACUUUCAGCGAGGAGGCGUUACUCGCAGAAGAAGCACCGGCUAACUCCGUGCCAGCAGCCGCGGUAAUAC
rnacentral:rRNA from 1 species